AACGAACGCUGGCGGCAUGCCUAACACAUGCAAGUCGAACGAGAUCUUCGGAUCUAGUGGCGCACGGGUGCGUAACGCGUGGGAAUCUGCCCUUGGGUUCGGAAUAACAGUUAGAAAUGACUGCUAAUACCGGAUGAUGUCUUCGGACCAAAGAUUUAUCGCCCAGGGAUGAGCCCGCGUAGGAUUAGGUAGUUGGUGGGGUAAGAGCCUACCAAGCCGACGAUCCUUAGCUGGUCUGAGAGGAUGAUCAGCCACACUGGGACUGAGACACGGCCCAGACUCCUACGGGAGGCAGCAGUGGGGAAUAUUGGACAAUGGGCGAAAGCCUGAUCCAGCAAUGCCGCGUGAGUGAUGAAGGCCUUAGGGUUGUAAAGCUCUUUUACCCGGGAUGAUAAUGACAGUACCGGGAGAAUAAGCUCCGGCUAACUUCGUGCCAGCCGCCGCUGUAAGAC
rnacentral:rRNA from 1 species